GACGAACGCUGGCGGCGUGCUUAACACAUGCAAGUCGAACGGAAAGGCCCUGCUUUUGUGGGGUGCUCGAGUGGCGAACGGGUGAGUAACACGUGAGUAACCUGCCCUUGACUUUGGGAUAACUUCAGGAAACUGGGGCUAAUACCGGAUAGGAGCUCCUGCUGCAUGGUGGGGGUUGGAAAGUUUCGGCGGUUGGGGAUGGACUCGCGGCUUAUCAGCUUGUUGGUGGGGUAGUGGCUUACCAAGGCUUUGACGGGUAGCCGGCCUGCGAGGGGGAACGGCCACAUUGCGACUGAGAUACGGCCCAGAGUCCAACGGGAGGCAGCAGUGGGAAAUAUUGUACAAUGGGCGGAAGCCUGAUGCAGCAACGCCGCGUGCGGGAUGACGGCCAUCGGGUUGUAAACCGCAGUCGCCUGUGACGAAGCGUGAGUGACGGUAAUGGGUGAAGAAGCACCGGCUAACUACGUG
rnacentral:rRNA from 1 species